UACGGGUGGGGCAAGCGUUGUUCGGAAUUACUGGGCGUAAAGGGCUCGUAGGCGGCCAACUAAGUCAGACGUGAAAUCCCCAGGCUUAACCUGGGAACUGCGUCUGAUACUGGAUGGCUUGAGAUUGGGAGAGGGAUGCGGAAUUCCAGGUGUAGCGGUGAAAUGCGUAGAUAUCUGGAGGAACACCGGUGGCGAAGGCGACAUCCUGGACCAACACUGACGCUGAGGAGCGAAAGCCAGGGGAGCAAACGGG
rnacentral:rRNA from 1 species